UUACAGCUGGUAAACGUGAAAUGCCAUGUCACCAGAGUGAAAAUUCUGAAUCUUCCUAAAAACCACUCACAUAUACCCUCUCCUUCUACUCUCUUUCUCGCCGGAGUUUCAGUUUCUCCGUUCAACCCCAACUCUUCUCCGGCCAAUUCUUACUCGUCCCACCAUUCUUUCCUUCAAUUCUCACCAGAGUUUGCCCCUUUUCCACCAAAGUUCACUCCUUUUUCACCAAAGCUCACAACUUUUUCCCACCCAAGAAACCAUUUUCCGCUCAAACAAACAGGAUUUUCUCCUUUUCUGGUUUAUGGGAUUUCGACAUAGUUCCUAAAAAGAGACACUUGAGAGGGAACUAAGGUUUUCUCUGUAUACACAAAAGGGUUUUUAGAGAGAGAAAACAGAGUGCAGUUUCACUGAGCCAUUUUUGUUUGCUUUGAAGGAAAUUUUUUAUGUGUUUUGGUGAAGAUUUUAGGGCCUAAAGCUUCAGAUUAUUUGUUUGGCAAUGCAGAAAAUAUAUUCUGGGUGAGUUUUUUCUCAUCUUCAUUUUUGAGAAAUUUUUUUCUCGUAUAUGGCUUUGAUUCUCAGAAAUUUAUUCUAAGGUUUGGAUUAUGUUGAUGAGAUUACCUUGAAGAACUAUGCUUAAUUACUGAAUAUUUUUAUGAAUUUAGGUUGUAAAUAUAUAAAUAUAUCAGUGAUUGAUUAAUUAAUUAAUUAAUUGAUUGAAUGAAUGAUUAAUUGACUGAUUGAUUAGGGGCUAGUUGUUAGAUUGUGUAUUCAAUGGGUGGAUUCAUGCAUGAUUUAAAUUUAUGAAAAAUGGGCCCACCAAAGUCAUUUCUUUAAUUCUUAGUUUUCAAUCACAUUCACCAUUGAUUAUGAUCAUUUUAAGAUCAUAUAUGCAUGGCAUACCCAAAAUUUUCUAUCCAAUUCUACCCAUUUACAAUUAUGUUUAUGGAAUCUAAUGAAAUUGAUGUAUUUGUUCAUGAAAAUGAGCUCAUUUGGUCUGAUUUGAUUCCAGGUCAUGGCAUUGCAGUGAGUUUAGGUGUGUUAUUGGUAUGAUUAUGUUAAUCAAAGAUUCGAAAUGGCCGAUUUCUUCAUGAAAAUGAGCUCAUUUGGUGUGAUUUGAUUUUGGGUCAUGGCAGUGUAGUGAGUUUAGAUGUAGUAAACAAACAAUUUGUUUGUGAAAAUGAACUCAUUUUAUUUGGUUUGAUUCCGGGUCAUGGCAUUGCAAUGAGUUUAGGUGUAUUAUUGAUUAUUUGAAUGAGGGCGAUUUGUUAUGGGAAAAUGAGCUCAUUUGGUGUGAUUAUGUGAAUCAAAAGGAUCUGAAAAUGCUCAGAUUGUUCAUGAAAAUGAGCUCAUUUGGUCCGAUUUGAUUCCGGGUCCUGGCAGUGCAGUGAGUUUUGGUGUAUUAGCAUGAUUGUAAUUUAUAUCAAUUAAACUAUUAGAAACACUAGAUUUCUUCACGAAAAUGAGCUCAUUUUAUGUGAUUAGGUUUCGGGUCACUGCAAUGCAGUGAGAUUUGGUGUAUUAGCAUGCGAUUGGAAAAAUGAUCUCAUUUCAUUUGAUUGAUCUCCGGCCAUGAUAUCACAAUGAGUCUAGGUCUACUACUGUGAUUAUAUCAAUCAAACGACUAAAAAUGCUUGAUUUAUUCAUGAAAAUGAGCUCAAUCCAUGUGAUUCCAUUUUGGGUCAUGACAAUGCAGUCAGUUUAGGUGUACCGUUCAUGCAUUGUGUAAUUAGUAGGUGAUUGGGUUUUUGAUUAAUUAAUCAAGCUUGUGUCAUUCNNNNNNNNNNNNNNNNNNNNNNNNNNNNNNNNNNNNNNNNNNNNNNNNNNNNNNNNNNNNNNNNNNNNNNNNNNNNNNNNNNNNNNNNNNNNNNNNNNNNNNNNNNNNNNNNNNNNNNNNNNNNNNNNNNNNNNNNNNNNNNNNNNNNNNNNNNNNNNNNNNNNNNNNNNNNNNNNNNNNNNNNNNNNNNNNNNNNNNNNNNNNNNNNNNNNNNNNNNNNNNNNNNNNNNNNNNNNNNNNNNNNNNNNNNNNNNNNNNNNNNNNNNNNNNNNNNNNNUAAUUGAUGUCUACCAUGUUCAUUCAUCCUAUUAGCUUCCCUAGUAAUGAUGAAUAUGAACCGAAAUUAGGGUCACCUUUUGUGUCAUUUUCCCUAGUCCAUGGUAAUGGAAACAUUGGUUACCCACCCAUAUUCACUUGGAAAUAUGUACCUAUUAGGGAUUUGGUGACUGGACAAGGCAUUUACACUAAGUGUACAAGGCCAAUGUACUAAAUGUACAAGGGUGUACAAGGGUGUGCAUCUUACUUUUUCCAAACGUGGGGAACAAUCCUCACACAUGUUGCUUGAUAACACACGCAUUGCAUGCAAUUUAAUUGAUGUCUACCAUGUUCAUUCAUCCUAUUAGCUUCCCUAGUAAUGAUGAAUAUGAACCGAAAUUAGGGUCACCUUUUGUGUCAUUUUCCCUAGUCCAUGGUAAUGGAAACAUUGGUUACCCACCCAUAUUCACUUGGAAAUAUGUACCUAUUAGGGAUUUGGUGACUGGACAAGGCAUUUACACUAAGUGUACAAGGCCAAUGUACUAAAUGUACAAGGGUGUACAAGGGUGCCUAUCUUGAAGGAUUUCAAAUGCAAAUGGUGGUUGCUCAUUGUGGCCGAUGUGCUGAACGUGUUGUGUUUGGCGAUGAGAUAACUGAUGGAGGAAGGGAUGACCUAGAAAAGAUCACGAAGGUAAUUGUACUUAACAUCAACUUGUUAUAAGUUCAAACUGAUCCUUCGAGGACAUGCUCCAUUGAUUAAAAAAAAUUAUAUUUAGCAGACACAAUACUAUUUGAGGCAGCACUUAAGGAGUUGCAUGCUUUGGUGCAUGAUUAUUUGCAUUUAUUAUGUGUUUGCUUUAAAAUGAACAAAUGGGGAAAAUAAGCUUCACUCAGGAAAGCAAAAUUCAUCAGGAUAAAAAUACAAAGUACAAAUAAAAGGAGGAAAUUUAUAAUAGAAGUGAAGACAGUUGCAUUUUGAACUUGGCUGUCUGUCAGUAGACUUAAGGUUCCUAAACCUCGCCCUUGAUAUGAGCUGGAAGCAAGGCUUACGAAAAUUCUUUGGGACAUGGAAUUCAAAUCUAGUAAUGCUCAUUCCAUGAUACUUGUUUUACCUUUAUGAUUUGCACUUUAUUUAGACACAUUGUUAUGAUUUUCAACUAACCCAUUACAUGGUUUCAUUACAUGUCAAUGUGGUUGAUGAUGGGAAACGGAUUUCCACAAUCCUCAAGGACCAUGUGGGAAGGAUUAUGUUGGGUUUUUUUCUAUUUAUAAAUCAAGUGUUUAUAUUCAAGAGAAAAGGCUUUCAUACUUGGUAUGUACCCAUAAGCAUCACUGAAAAUUCAACUUCUCUUUCUAUCUAGAUUGAUUACAGAAGCAGGCUACGUUUUUUUUCUAAUAGGAUCACAAUGUAAAUUAAUCAUGAAUGCACUUUAUAAUUUGAUGUGUUUAGAUUUAUGUACAAAACGGAUUUUUAUGCUGCUAGUAACUUCUGUUGGUGUUUAAAACAAACAUGGAAUUAACCAUAAUGUUCUCUGUGCUCUUUGCAAGAUACUGGUAUAUUGAGUUGUGGAUGAUCUUAUUUGGUUUAUAUGCCUUUCCAAUCCCUCAUGCUACUUGUUUUCUCACUUUGCAUGGUGCUUGUUUCUGUUUCUGAAACCUUCUUCCAUGGAGUUUGGCUCUAUUGUUAGUAGUGAUGGUAAUAAACGUCUAUUUCCUUGCAAUUUCUUCAGGAGGGACCCUUGCCUCACAACGAUCGGGUGAGAUAUCAGCCACUGGACCUAUAUCCUGCUCCACUCCACAUAUGUUAAAAGUGUUAACGGAACGACGCAGGGUUCUCCCUUCCUACCAUGUUGUCUUUGAUCCUAGUUUGGCUGCCAUCUAUCUGAGUCCAAGUUAGACAUUGAUUCGGGCUCCUGGGAGAAGAAAGAAACCCGGCUUUUGACACCAAUGCUCUGGUUCUUAGAUGCUGAAGCUAUUGAAUAUUGUCAGCUGACUCUUGAGUAGAAGGGUGAAAUGCCAAUGGAAUGUAUCUUAAGAUGAGGCUUAGGACUGUGGUUUACAACAGUUUUGUUGGCUUAUUUAUUACUGUUUUGAUGUUUCUGUACAAUGAAAUUGAAGUUAUAAGAAGGGUCGAUCUGUCUUCGUGUACAGAGAAAUCUGUAAUGAAAAUACUUUUUGCCCAUUAAUGUAUUGAACAUAGAAAAAUUGUGAAAUCUCGAGUUCUAGCGAACCCAUCCCUGUUGAAGUGAUCAAUACAGAAGUCCAAAGAGGAAACACCAGGAGUUUCUGAAAAUGUUUUUUAAUGUUUUGUAAAACAUUUUGUUUGAUAACUUGAAAUUUUUUUAACUUUUUUUUUUUAAAAAUUUUAAAUAUAUUUUUUUUAAAAAAUUUAUAUGUAAUGUUUUAUUUUUAAUAUUUUUUAUAUUUAUAUAAUAAUAUUUAAAAAACAAGUAAAAACAAUUAAAAUAUAUAAUUUAUAACUUUUCUAUCUUUAAACAUCUAAGAGUAUAAAAUUAUUUAUUGAUUGUCAAUUUUUUCCUAGAAAAUAAAAAAUUGGUUUUGAAAACAAUUAACAAAUAGGGUUUUAGAGUGAAUUUGACAACUGUUUUGAAAAACAAAAUUCUAAAAAAUAUAAAAUAGUUUUUCAACUUCAAAAACAACUAAUUAAAGAGUAAUACAUGUAACCGGUCGACCGGACAAUGAUAGGGGGUCGACCGGUUGUUGCAAAAACUCCUCAUAUAAUGUAGACCGGUCGCUGGCAACCGGUCGACCGGAUUACUUCAAAAAUUUUAUGCCAUCUCACUAUUACAAGAGACACAAAAUAUGCAAAUAUGUAAAUUUUUUUCAAAGUUAUUACUUCAAAAAUUUUAUCAGUUCUAAAACUAUUUUGAGAACUAACAUUUCAUGAGAGAAUGGAAUAUUUUUUCUUAUAUUGGAUGUUCUAAGAAAAUCAACUUGUUAAACAAUGCAAUGACAUGACUAAUAUUGGUAAUGUGGGAUUAGUUCAAACUUAUCUAAUACAUCAUUACAAUGUAGCCUUGAAAAACAUGACAUUAUGAAACAGUAUAUUAUUUCAUUUAUAUUUAUGCUUUUGGUAACCCUUUACUAUUAUAUUUAUGUGUCUUAAUUAUUUUGAACAUUCAAGUCUACUUCACUUACAUUACACAUUUGGGUGCGUGAUAAAUUGCAUAAAAGGUCUAACUCCUUCCAAGUUGAUGAGUUGUUCAUUGCUUACUCAUGGACUUAGGUAAUUUGCCGAAUGUUAAAGUUCAGUACCUCCUAAUAUGGAUGAGAUGACUUGGCGAUCUUGUAAAUAUUACUAAACAACAUAUAAUAAAGUAAAUAGCUGCUUAUAUAUAUAUAUAUAUAUAUUGAAUCCAAAUUAAAACGAAAUCAAAAACAUUUGCAUGCUGACACAACUCUAAAUAUACGUAUGCUAAUACAAAAUAUAUAUGUCCCAGUUUUGCAAGCUAAACAAAAUAACGACGUGGUCUCAAUGCAAUCAAGGUGCAGCGGGUGGCGGUGGGAACACGGCGCGGAGGUACGCCAUUAACUCCUCAUGCUGACGCUCUUGGCGAUCAAGCCUCUGUAGGAUAUGCUCAUGCGUAGCCUGCUGCUGAUCCAUGCGCUCCUCAAUACGAGUCCCAAGUGAGGUAAUCUGCGCAGACAACUCCAUCCAAGGCGCAUGCGCAGCGGCGUCAGGAGCCUGGCCAGGUGAUGUAUGGGUGUAAUGAGGCUCAGUAAAUGAUGGCUGACCAGAUGGUCCCGCUGUGUAACCCGUCUCAGUCAUCACCGCAUCUGAAAUAGUCGGGUCAAUGUGGCCACCCUUAGACUGGCGUGGAGGGAUAUCAAACUCAGCCUCUCUAUGCUCAAAAUCGGUCUGAGGGUGUACCCCACCCUCCAUCUCCCUAAUCUCCUCCUCUUCGUCUUCCUCUGCCUGUGGAUGUGGUACUGGUCGGUCCGCCCUCCUAAUCCAUGACCCAUCUGGGGCCUUCUCCAACUUCAUCCGCGCCAUCGACUGCUCAUCAUAUGUGUCAUAACUGCUGGGCGCCUCGACCUCCUGCUCCCUGCUCAAAUCCACCCCCGCAUCCUUGAACACUCGUGUCAUGAAGCGGCCAUAUGGGAGAAUGCGUUUGGGCCUCUCGCAGCAUGCCAUCAUGUGCAUCAUCAUGACAUACCCGACGUCAAUACGUCUCCCCGUCAUAAUCGAAUCAAUCAGAAAUGCCUCCAGAUAGGAAACCUCAUCUCGAUGACCGCCACGUGGUAGGAGGAUGUACGCUAUCAUGUGGUGAAGGACUCGGCAGGUCACUGUCAGGCUAUGGGCCGAUGGUUUGCCCAACCCCGGGGCAUCUGCAAGGCCGUAGAUCCUCUGAAUCGCCUCUCUCGGAUCGAAACCCGGCACCGUCGGCCAGGUCUUGGCAUCAUAUACUCGGAGUCCACCAGGAGGAAUGUCCAAAAUGCGGCAGAUGCUCUCCGGGUCCAGAUGGAUCUGAACCCCUCUAACGGUCGAAGUGAUCGGUCCUCCAUGUCCAAAUGUCACACGGGAAUAGAAUGCCCUGACUAAUGUCGGAAAAAUGGGCUCUGAAAUAGUGACUAAGGGCAGCCACCCCAUGCAUGCAAAGAGGCUCUCAAACCCGAAAUGUUGUAGAUGGGCGAAAUUUAUAUUUCUCCCUGCAACCACCUUCCUCUGGACGAAAUGCUGCUUGUACCUCUGGUAUUCGUCGACCGAAGUGAAAAGGCCGGUGUCGAACCUCGCCUUUCGGCGAGCCUCCGCCUGACCGUCCUGAGAAGCCUGAGCAGGGCGCUUGCCCAGUGCCUUCGACGCACCCCUAUCUCUCCUAGGCGCCAUGAAACACUACAAAGGGCUACCCCUAUGUCAAAACAAGGCCAAUGAAAGAGUCUGUGACGCGCGCGGGAAGAGAAGAGAACCCGCCUGUGACGCGCAAUGAAGGAGGACCAUUGCCAAACCUCACUCCCUAGGUCCGAAAUGUGAAGCCGCACCCCUCAAAACUCACUCCGAAGGCUUGCAACAGCUGGAAUCGCGUCCAAAGUGGGUGUGUGGCAGCUCAAUCGGUGGAUCCCUUCGACUGCCAGAGGAUAACACUGAAGAAAUUAAGCGCGGAAUGGUUUUUUAAACGUCACCCCGGCCGACCGGAUAUGAACCGGUUGACUCAGUAACAUGUUCCAUGGUGUUUUGCACUUUUUAAUAGGUAUAAUGCAAAACACUUGUGAUAUUCACUUUUUGUGGGGUUGCCUUAAAUAUUUUCUCCGUAUAUUUUAAAUAUUUUUAUAAAAUAGUUUUUAUAAAAACAAUAUAUGCAUUUUCUAUAAAAUAUUUUUAUUCUUAAAGGUAAAAAAUAAAAAUAUAUAUCCAAGUGCUACCUUAAUAAUUUAUUUUCUGUCCUCAAUUUUUCCACAAACAACCAUAUAAAAUUUCUUUAACUUUUUCUCUUUCCUUAUAUUUUCUUUUUUAAUUUUUUGGCUUCAAACUUUUUAGGAAUCCAACAUAAUAAAAGAUGGCGCUUUAAAGGUUUUUUUAAAGCAAUCCUAAAAACUUCUUAUUUUUUUAAGUGAGUUUUAUUAGCUUGAAUUUUAAAAUUUUUAGAAAUAAUUUUUGAAAAUAUAAGGUUUUUAAGUUAAUACCUUUUAUAAAAAGUUUCUAUUUUGUACAUAAAAAAAUUUUAUUUUGAAAAUUAGAAAUCAGAAAAUAUAAGGUUUUUAAGUUAAUACCUUUUAUAAAAAGUUUCUAUUUUUUACAUAAAAAAUUUUUAUUUUUAAAAAUAGAAAUCAGAAAAUAUAAGGUUUUUAAGUUAAUACCUUUUAUAAAAAGUUUCUAUUUUUUACAUAAUAAAUUUUUAUUUUUAAAAAUAGAAAUCAGAAAAUAUAAGGUUUUUAAGUUAAUACCUUUUAUAAAAAGUUCCUAUUUUUUACAUAAAAAAAUUUUAUUUUUAAAUAUAGAAAUCAGAAAAUAUAAGGUUUUUAAGUUAAUACCUUUUAUAAUUCCUUUGUCUAUUUAGCCUAUUUGAUUAUUAAUAUUUGUAUAUGAAGAAUUUAUUCGAUUUAUAAAAAAUAAAUAUGAAUAUAAUUAAAAUGUAAAUUCAAGAAAAAAAGAUAUUUAAUUAAAAAAUGAAAACAAAUCACAACAAAACAAUAUCACACAUCAAGAACAUGUUACUUUGUCAUAAUAUUUAUUGUUUUUGUUUUAGUUUUCAUAAAUUGAAUGGUUUUGGGUUUGGAAAAAUAUAAAUUAUGGUAAUAUAACUAAAAAGAUAAUUUUUAUCAAAAUAAUUUUUAAGGCUUGAAUGUUAUAUUAAUUGAAUUUAGGUGUUCUCCCACUGAGUAAUUUAUCCAAUAAGCAACUUGGCUUGGGUUUUGCUUCUGGUUUUUUUCAUUGACUUGAGGUUGACUUGAGGUACCAUUGCAACCCCUUCCCUGUAGGUAGGAAGCGGUCGCAGUAUAACACUAACACAAAUGUCCAUAUCUCUAUCCCAAUCAUUUACAUCUUUCAGAUCAUAUGAAAAAUUGCGACUAUAUGAAAAAAUCAACAUUAAAGGAAUGCGGGAGUUGGAAGAAUUACAGGAAUUGGGGGAGUACCCUUCCCUAGUUUUUUUAAAGAUCAGUUACUGCCGCAAUCUGAUGAAGUUGCCAUCCCACUUUCCUUAUUUAGAAGAUCUAAAGAUCAAACAUUGCGUCUCUCUCAACACCCUUGUUGUGACCCCACUUCUGAAAGUUCUCGUGCUAGUUGACAAUAUUUUUCUGGAAGAUUUGAAUGAAGUGAAGCAGUCAUUCUCUAGUCUUUUGGUAUUGAGAUUAAUUGUUGCCCAAAGCUGAAGGUAUUACCUCAAAUAUGUACCCCAGAUAAGAUGGAGAUUGGUGGGUCUAAUUUACUGGAAGCUCUCUCAGCCCGAGAUUACUCCCAACAUCUUGAGCACUUGAUCGUGGAUGAAUGCGAGGAUGAAACACUGGUAGUGGGGGCAAUACCAAGGAGGACUUCUCUAAACUCUUUGGUCAUUUCAAACAUCUCAAAGGCAACCUGUUUCCCCAAGUGGCCUCAUCUUCCUGGUCUCAAGGCUUUGCACAUCUGUCAUUGGAAAGAUCUGGUAACUUUAUCCCAAGAAGCAUCACCAUUCCAAGAUUUGACCUAUCUCAAACUGUUGUCAGUUGUCAAGUAUCUAAUCUAAAAUAGGUUCCAGCAUCGGAAAUUUGGCUGAAAAUUGUCCCCUUAAUUUAUAUAUAACCAUACUAUCCCAAUCAUUUAUAUUUUUCGAAAGUUAAAAAAUCCACUAUAUGAAAAAUUAGCAUUUAAGAAAAGAAAUCAUUUGUUUUCUAAAAAAAUUAAGUACUAAUAACUUGUAUAUUGUUUUAUCAUUUCUUAAAAUUUUGUCCAAAUUUAAAAAUAACCUCUUACUUUAAUUUGAGCCCCUUCUUAAUUAUAUUACAUUUUGAUUUUUUAAAUAAAACUAAGAAUUAUUUAAAAAUUUUAAAAUUUUGUCCAAUUCUCCAGGAACCGGUCGACCGAAACUGAUCGACCGGUCUAUAUCCGGACGAGGGUGCCAAAAUGCACCCUCUCUCAUCCAGUAGCUUGUCCAAACCUCCAAGAACCGGUCGACCGAAACUGAUCGACCGGUCUAUCUCCGGACGAGGGUGCCAAAAUGCACUCUCUCUCAUCCAGUAGGGUGUGCGCGACCGGCUGAAGAAAGGUUCGACCGGUUUACCAAUGGCUGAAGGACAAUAUCGACCGGUCGAACACUUUAUGCUUUCCGAUCCACGGGUCCAUCUAGACCGGUUCCUGGGUUGGCCAUAUAUACACCUGCAUUGUACUGUAUAAAUUGUAAACGAUAUGUACGAGAUUGUUGAUGAAAAGGUUUGUUAUAGGUUGUAAUGCCGGUGCCUUUUAUUAGAUGUUUUGAGAUAGUGAGGGAAAAUGCGACUUCAUCACAACCUUCAUUAAAUAUAUAAGCCAUAAAAUUGGCAAUACAAUGUCAGGAGUUGGUUUUUCCUGUAUAAUGUACAAUCAUCUUUAAUUCGCCCUAUUUACUUACAAUGCAUUGACAAGCAACUUAAGUAAAAAAACAAUCAAAUUCUGACUAAUCCCAUAAUCCCAGUGUUCAUUUCCGCAUAUGUCCACCAUAAAUUACAUACAAAUGUGCUAAUUUUAUACAGUUUUAUCACAAAUUACAAUCCCCUUUAAUCUCUCCGGACACGGUCUCGGUGUGCAUUUUGUGCUGAGAACAACAUACUCCCCAUGAUCUUCAACCUGUAAUGUUUCAAUUUCCCCUGCGUUCAUUCACGUUGAUAGCAACAAAUCAGCAAAUUAAUUAAUUAGGUUUUUCUAACUAUUUUAACAUUAAUGAGAUAGUCAUAGAUAAUUCCUCCUACGUACCACAUCGAUUGAUUUGGAGAACCCCCCCAUUGACCACAAUUCCAUGAAUUUCAUUACAAAAACUCCACAAUCGUGCCUACGUCAAUAUAAUUACCAAAACGUUAAUAAGUGUGGAAUUAUAAAUAAGAGAUGAACUUCAAAUAAAUUGCAAUCUUAUACAAUAUCCCGGACUGCAAGGUCAACACUCACUCAUUAGUUUGGAGGGGUACAUCAGGUGUUAUGAAAUUGAAUGUCCUCAAAUCAUAAGGUGAUACCUCUUUUUUGUGGGCAGCCAACCACAGGACAACCUUGGCCUGAAACAUUUAGUAACACAACAAUUGAAAUUUUAAUGGGAAGACAUACCUAUCAAAUUAUUACUUGUUGCUUGUUACUUUACCAGAUUUUGUUGGACUCCACUCAACAUUGUCUUCUUUCUACCAGGACGAGAAUCUAGCAGUUGGAUUCUCCUGUUUUCUAGGUCAUAUACAUACAAUGUCCAAUGGUUCUUUAUGAGAACCGGUAAGAAGACCUGCACCAAUAGACUGCCAUUAAACAUACAUCUAAAUAUUGUACAUUCAUGCAAUAAAAAUACAAAUCCAAGCAUUAAACAUAUGAAUCCACCUCGUUAACAUUGACAUAUGGAAUAUCAAUCUGAUACAGAUGUGGUUCAAAGCGUCUAAUAACUGCCUCCCUAACUAAGUUUUUUGCCUGGGAGUGGAUUACCAUUUCCUGCAUGUUAGAUACGGGAUAAUAUCAGGUUUCUCAUUGUAGGUGAUGCCUGGUUCAAGACAAAAAAUAAAGAUAAGCAAGGAUUUAAUGGAAUAGUCAUCAUUAUAGCUAUGUAGGGGGAUAGAAAAAGUUUCGACUUCGGUUCAUGUUGAUACUGCAACAAUCUACAGUAGGAAUCGACGACCUGAUUUCGUAUAUCAUAAAAGUGUAAGCAACAAAUUAAUUUAGAACCACACUUUCAUUUUCAAACUUAAAAUAAUGCAUAAAGAGGGAUAAGAAAUGAUAUGCACGUCGUUUCCUAUCCACCCAUUCCCUUGGAAGCAGCCCAAAUUGGCUCUGGUUAGAAUAGUGUCAUGCAUAGACACUAGUUCCUCACUGUUACAAAAAAAUACAAUUUAGUUUUUGUGUUUUAACUAUCAUACAAUGAGAGGAGUGUCACUCAAGUAUGUUACCUUGCAUCCAAAUCGUCUCCAAAUACCAGUGCAGCUCCUUGUUUUAGGUCGAUUUUGAUGGCAGAUUGUUUGGUUUGUGGUUGGGAUAUGUAUGGGGACAACAGGUUUGGAGCCAUGCGACGCACUCGACAUCUCCGGACGUUUCUAUUUGUGGGGACAACAUUACCUUCUGGUUGUUCUUCAGCAUCUGCAAUACGAGAUUUAGAACUAGUCAGCAAAGGUAUACAUUAUGAUUGGGUACAUGGGUUGUUAACCAUAUGGGUGUUUGCAUAAAUUUGAUCACUUACCGCUUACUACAUUAAUGGGUACACUGGGCUGCAACUCAUACUCAGGGGCGACAACGCGAUCUGGUGUGUCUAGCACAUGGUAUGCAGCAUGCGAAGCCAUGUACUCAUCACCAGGAAAUGCAUGGUCAUCGGCUGUGGGAGGGCUGGCUGGUGCAUAGCUAGAGUGACCACCCGCAUCUGAAUUUACCCCACUAUGUCUGCGAGUCCCUAACUUAUGCAUAAGGCCAUGCAUUAUUCUCAGCUGCUGCUGAAUGCCCCUUUGAUAUUGGUCGAUUGCUCGUUCUGCAUCAUGAUAUUGAUGCCAUAUUUCCUAUGACAUGAUAUUGUUGUCAAUCUUUGAGAACAGAAUGUGACAACAACAUAUUUCUUUGUAGUUAAGAAGUAAAAAUAAAUUACAAUGACAAUGAAAUGAACAUUUAUUAAGUUUUUGAAAAAUUCACAGCUUACAUCACUAUUUUCAGCAUCAACAUUUGUGUCAUGGUCCACAUUAGUCUCUGGCUCCAUAGUUCUCUCUACGGUUGGAGAUCUCUGGGACGCCUAUAAUUAGCACUGAAGAUUAGUACUUAAAUAAUGAGUGUUAUGCUAGUAAUGACAAUAUAUUUAUGCAUGCAUAACUUACAAAAUCACUCUCAGCAUGUCCGAAUGCUCCAAACUCCUUUAUCUCAGCGACUAGUCGUCGCUUAAUCAAAUCAUCAGUCCAUGCCAAUGCUGGGGGCACUGUAAUGGGGACUUGGACUGAAGGAAUUUGGAAUUUAAUGACAUAAUGCAGCUGCAAAAUAAAUAGAAACAUCAAUAAGCAAAUGUGAAUAUGUUGUGCAAUAAAAUUAGAUAAGAAAAUGGAAGACAAAGACUGAAUAAGUUCACUACCUGAAGAAAUAAAACGCAGCCAUGUACCCAAGAGGUCUUAGAUUGUUGGAAUCGCCUAAUUCCCUCAACCAGUUGGUCAAGCACAAACUGGGCCCAAUUAACAUCAUUUCGGAAUCCAUCCUCAUGGAUGGUAUGCCACAAGUUACGGCAACCAUUGAGCCUAGACGUGGGGGCCAACAAUGUGGCACAUGUGUAGUAAAUGAAUGCUCUACGGAACUCCUCGCCUACAGGUAAGUCUAGGAGUUUCUCCUCGCAUGCCCGAAUAGUCCCAAAUGGAUGAUCUGAUGAUGUGGAGGUCACCUGCAAAUUCCGUCCUUCUGUUGGGAGGCCUAAAAUGAGGCCAACAUCGGUGGCUGUAACAGGAUAGUGUUUAUGGGCUGAGAACUCUAUCCGUCUAAAUCCAACAUUGAAAUGUUGGAUUAGAAAGAUACAGAGGUUGUGGCGUACCUCUGUGCAGUUUAAGUUUAAGAGACCUCCAAAUUGGAGGUCUCUUAUGGCUUGAAUUUUUGCCUCUGGUAAUCGGUUGCACAGUUUCUUAAAUCUUGCAGCUGAGCAUCGUGUAAACAUUGAUGUGCCCUGCAUGCAAUGUUAGAAAACAUGGACAUGUUAGGAAUAGCAACAUUCUUGCAGUUGGUAAUGCAAUAAAAUAAGUGAAAAAGUAAAGCUGUCAUUUCUCAAAGUUACAAAGAUUUGUCUGCUUGUAUUUAGAAAUAAUAUACAGCAGGGUAAGACAUUAGAUGGGGUUGGGUGCUACUAACAGUGAGAUAUCCUGUAAGAGGGAGGAUUGAAAAUUUAUGAAUAAGGCUAUAUAGAAUAGGCAAUAACAGUCAAAAUGUACAGAAUAGACUAUAAAAGAAAAAAAUAAAUAUGAGAAUACUACAUGAUAUAUAAAAGAAAGAAAUCAAAUCAAUUUAUGUAAAUAAAUUGACUAAUUAUAUUAGAGAAAGAAACCAUCAACAAAUCAAUGAAUAAUCCUAUUUAACCUGCUCCUUUUGAUACUUCUGACAUACACAAAAUCUAGAGGAACUGCUAGAGCAAGCACUUUGCUACUGCCAUUGAACAUGGACAAGGUUUGGAAUCCAAGUUUCUGUUGAGAGUAUUCCCACAUGGUACUAACUAUCAGUGAAGAAUUGUACACUAUCAUUUGAUACCACGAAUCAUGUGUUUGACCAAAGUUCAUGCAUACCUAAGUUGUUAGCUGAGUGAGGAUUCAUGGGAAAAUAAAUGUAACAUAGGACUAUUAAUCUAAACUUGUGAAAGUUUUGAGGCUUGAAUCUGAUUCAAUGGCCAUAAUAAUCUAAAAUUUGCAGAAAAGAGGAAGUGGGCAUUUAAAAUAAGGUAAUGAUACACUAUGAAAUGCUACUACAUACUUUUUUGUAGAAUAGUAAACAAAGAGUAUGUUUACGCUUGAAAACAAGAAUAAAUAAGAUGAAUCCAUGAGUGUUGGAGAAUUAAAUGAAUGAAGAGGAGUUUGGAAACCAUACUUUAUGUUGGAGAAUAAAAGUUAUGUGCUAUGACUUUAUGUUUUUUUUUUCUGUUAACUUAUAGAAGUAUUUUCAUUGUUGUAAGGAUUCUGCAAGAAGAUAUACAUGAGCAAUUUUAAAUGUCUGUACUGCUCCUGGCAAAAGCCACAUUGGGUACAAGUUUGCCACAUCAGUUUGCUUGGUCAGUGCGUGAAUCACCGUAAAUGAAUUUAUGUAACUGGUUCAAAAUACUGGUAUAUGAAGUGUGUAGAGAGCUAUGCACCUUGCUUAAGUCAAUUGUUUGAAUCUUAGAGACAAAAAAUAAUACAGAAUUUGCCACCCGAAAAAAAUGUAUGUCCAGAGUCCAAGGCACUGAGAAAUUGGCAAGGCAUGGCUCUCCACCUUCAUAUUUAAAUCACUUAGAAAGUGAAGCAAAAAGAAGCCUAAUGUCUCAAUACCAUUGAGGUCCCCAUAAAUAAUUGUGAUCAUUUAACCCUGGGGACCUGGCUAAAGUGGCUACAGAGGUAAGGGUUACCUAUAACUCAAGUGGCUAAAGAGUUAAUCCCAUCCCCAUCACCAUUCCUACCAGAACACCUCUCUUUAUCCCUUCCUCUACCCUCCUCCCUCAUCAUAGAGGACAUGGUUUUUGCCUAUCCCCAUAGCUGUAUAGCGAAGACCAUUAGAUCCCUAAAGCAUAAUUGUAUAUGGUGUUAGUGAACCACAUUUUCUAUAUUACCAAAUUGAACACAAAUAUUACCCGACAACUUACAAAGCUGAUAUAAUAGUAUUUAAUAAAUAAACGUUGAAUUGUUAAAACUUCAAUAUUAGAGAACUUUCCAACAUAACUGAUACAUGGUAACUAUAAUAAGGGACAUGAAGAAAUCACUUAAAUUUAAUGCAUAAUAUAUAUAUAUAUACUAACUUAAAAGGUANNNNNNNNNNNNNNNNNNNNNNNNNNNNNNNNNNNNNNNNNNNNNNNNNNNNNNNNNNNNNNNNNNNNNNNNNNNNNNNNNNNNNNNNNNNNNNNNNNNNNNNNNNNNNNNNNNNNNNNNNNNNNNNNNNNNNNNNNNNNNNNNNNNNNNNNNNNNNNNNNNNNNNNNNNNNNNNNNNNNNNNNNNNNNNNNNNNNNNNNNNNNNNNNNNNNNNNNNNNNNNNNNNNNNNNNNNNNNNNNNNNNNNNNNNNNNNNNNNNNNNNNNNNNNNNNNNNNNNNNNNNNNNNNNNNNNNNNNNNNNNNNNNNNNNNNNNNNNNNNNNNNNNNNNNNNNNNNNNNNNNNNNNNNNNNNNNNNNNNNNNNNNNNNNNNNNNNNNNNNNNNNNNNNNNNNNNNNNNNNNNNNNNNNNNNNNNNNNNNNNNNNNNNNNNNNNNNNNNNNNNNNNNNNNNNNNNNNNNNNNNNNNNNNNNNNNNNNNNNNNNNNNNNNNNNNNNNNNNNNNNUACCCCAAACAACUCCGAAACACUACGCAAUAUCCCUUAAUGUCUAUCUGAUAUAAUAAUUACUUCUUGACCAUCUAGGAUCCCCUUCAAUUUCUCCAAGAACCAAUACCAAUCCUCAUAAUUUUCUGAACCAACCACACCCAAGGCUAGAGGGAACAUUCCAUCAUCUGCAUCAUAUGCAAUGGCAGACAAAAGAGCUCCUUUGUAUGGACCACUUAGGUGGCAAGAAUCAAUAGCCAAUACCGGUCGACACCCCAUGGUGAACCCUUGAAUUGAAAAUGCGUGGGCAAUGAACAAUUGCUUGAAGUGACCUUCAUGAGAAGUGUACUCGGCAAUAGUUCCAGGGUUAAUUUCCCUUAGUCUAUGGCAUAACCAAGGCAAAUACGCGUAGGACGCACGUGGAGAUCCAUAUACACGCUCUUUUGCCUUCUCUUUAAGAUGCCAUGCUUGGUUAUAAGUCAAUUGAACUCCAUGAUCACUUUCAAAAUCCUUGCAAAUUUGUCGAGGAAGGUAUUCUGGAGUUGUUCUAAACACGUCUUCAACAACAACAACACCUCUCUUGGAAGAAACCCGUACCUUAGAUGAACACUCAUCUUGAGCUAUAUGAUUAUGAUUAACUUGGUAAGUAUAAACUCGCAAUAUUUCAUUUCCUUCAACAGCAUGAGCUGUUAUCUUCCAAGGACAAUCCUCAACCGAACACUUUACUGACAUAUGAGUGGGUGAAUUUUUCUUGUACUUGUAUUGAAACCUUCCAGCUAAUGACAUUUGGUAUAUUGCAUUCCGAAACUCAUCUACAUUCUUAAAUGUAUGUCCGGAACCUAAUAUUGCCUCACGAAACCGAUUCGAUUCCAAAGGGGUGUACUCACUAUAUGCACAACGCGAUGCAAAACCUCUUGAUAACAUCAUAGUAUUAGGAUUUGCAUCGCAUGAUGCAUUAGACGAAGGAAACGUAGGAUGUGGACCUCUGCAUUUACAUUCAUAACCAAAAUUAGACUACAUAAUGCGUAAAAUUGAUAUUCAUAAAAUUUUAAAUAGACAUCCAAGUGAAAACGCAUUACCCAAGUGCCAACUGUGUAUUCGGUAUAUUUGCCUCUAUGGCUUCCACACCGGGUGACUCGACUAUGUACACAUUUGCAAAGUCAUCAUUGUGGGAAACCACGUUAUCCAAGUCAUCCUCAUCUUCUAAAUCUUGGAUGACUCUAGGGUUAAACUUGAGGGUGUAGUGCAUCCUCCUCACAUGAAGGGAAAUGUCGAAUUUUUCUAAGACCUUCUGAGUGAAUUCUUCAAAUGUCAUUCCUUUAUAAAUGUGAAUACCUUUGCUUCUUCCACCAACAUAUUCCCAAACGCCAUCAUUUUUUUGGACAAGUUUCCCUCCCACGAAAAUAUAACAGUAUAUUCUAUUUGUGGCAUCCAUCAACCUAUUGAAAUAAAGCACAAAUUUAUAUUGUUGAACAAACAAUAAUGCAUAUUCAAUGUGAUCUUAAAAGUUUUUUCAUUUCACAAUAUACUAUGUUCCCAUACGAAAAAGUUAUAUUUUAAAAAAUGUAUAUACAAAAAAAUGUAACUUUAAAGUCUUAAAAAAGAAUUUUUGUUGCUCUUUUUGAUUAUUCUAACCAUUGUCAACGGUAAGAUUAUUUUAAGAUAGGCACUAAUAAACAAACGCUGAGUUGAACUAAGAUAUGAAGACCGAGCUUCUCUCUUCUCUUGGACUAAUAAAUACUACCUAACCUAAACAAAACUAAAAAUAAUAAUAAAAAUAAAAAACAAAAAUGAGAAAUGUAAAACUGAAAUGGAAAUUAAAAGAUUGAAAUUAAUAGAUUAAAAAAAAUCAUUAAAUUAAAAACUAAGAAAGGCUAUAAAAGGAAAAAAAACAAAUCUCUAACUUAUUUUCCCUAUCAUUCCCCUUUACUUAUAUAUUCAUAGUUCACAUUUUUAUAAGCAAAAACCUCUCUCUCCAACUACUUUAGUGCUACCCAAUUUGACACUACUACUUACCUAUGCUAAUAAUCUAAUCGUGUCAAUACUUGGAACUUUAAGACAGAACAUCACAACAAUAUCUACUAAAGUAGGAGGAUUUUGUGUCUGAUUCGACUUAAUACUCCAGAACAUAUAUAUAUAUAUAUACACCAAAAACAUUGGAAUUAUGGAAGUAUAAGACAUUCAAUAGGAAAUAAUCCCCCACGUUUUAUUAAGCUCUGGCCUAUACUUACACUAGGUAGAAAACAAAUUCUCAUUCUCACUCAAACCCUUAGACAAUUUCUGUUGGUACUACUAUAUUAGACAUGCCUACAAACUUAUUCAAAGAGAAUGGAGAUAUUUAAAUAUUAAUUAUAAAGCGUUGCUUUUCAAAAUAAUAUGAAGAGAUAAUAGCCUAAAAAAUGUAACAAAUACAGAAUUCUCUUCUAAACUAUCAUGUCCUACUUUAGAUGAUUCAUACAAAACCAUAAGCAAUAGUUUAACACAUUUAAGGUUUAAGGGUCAAAAAAACUAAUAGAUAAAACGAGAUAAAUCUGUUACUUGUGCCUACAUCUCAAGCCAAUGCACCAUAAGAAAACUUUAGGGUUUUUAGGUUUUCCAUUUCCCCUUUCCAUUUUUCCUCUCCUGCUUUUCUAGCAACCAAUUAAACAAUUAUAAAUUAUUUUCAAGUAUAUAUGACAAAUUUUCACAAAUAUUUUUUUGAAUUUAAAAUAUACAAAUAGCAUGAAAAAAAAAAUCUAAAAAAAAUUACAAAAAUAUAAUCAGAUCGAUUAAGCCAUGAAUUAUGAGUUGCAGGUAAAGUGCAUUUUCUGUAUUCUCAAGGCUUAAAGAAAAAAUUAUGGUUCAAAAUUUUUCCUUUCUUUUUCUCAUUAUUUUCUCAGCAUCCAAAUAAUAGUAGCAAACCAAGAAGUCAAUUAUUGAAUGGAAACAGUAACUUGAACUCCGGAGAUCAAGUUGAACACAGUUUAGAGAUUUGGACUAAGAAAAUUUAGG
rnacentral:lncRNA from 1 species